rnacentral:rRNA from 1 species
GAUGAACGCUGGCGGCGUGCUUAACACAUGCAAGUCGAACGGUGAAGGCGGAGCUUGCUCUGCUGGAUCAGUGGCGAACGGGUGAGUAACACGUGAGCAAUCUGCCCCUGACUCUGGGAUAAGCGCUGGAAACGGCGUCUAAUACUGGAUACGAGCUGCGAAGGCAUCUUCAGCAGCUGGAAAGAAUUUCGGUCAGGGAUGAGCUCGCGGCCUAUCAGCUUGUUGGUGAGGUAAUGGCUCACCAAGGCGUCGACGGGUAGCCGGCCUGAGAGGGUGACCGGCCACACUGGGACUCAGACACGGCCCAGACUCCUACGGGAGGCAGCAGUGGGGAAUAUUGCACAAUGGGCGAAAGCCUGAUGCAGCAACGCCGCGUGAGGGACGACGGCCUUCGGGUUGUAAACCUCUUUUAGCAGGGAAGAAGCGAAAGUGACGGUACCUGCAGAAAAAGCGCCGGCUAACUACGUG